rnacentral:rRNA from 1 species
GACGAACGCUGGCGGCGUGCUUAACACAUGCAAGUCUACAAGAAUAAGAUAGCAAUAUCUUUAGUAAAGUGGCGCACGGGUGAGUAACACGUAAGUAACCUACCUUUAGAUUUGGAAUAACCCCGAGAAAUCGGGGCUAAUACCGAAUGAUGCAGCGGCACCACAUGGUGAUGUUGUUAAAGUCUAUAUGACGUCUAAAGAUGGGCUUGCGUCUGAUUAGCUAGUUGGUGAGGUAACGGCCCACCAAGGCUACGAUCAGUAGCUGGUCUGAGAGGAUGAUCAGCCACACUGGAACUGAGACACGGUCCAGACUCCUACGGGAGGCAGCAGUGAGGAAUAUUGGGCAAUGCCCGGAAGGGUGACCCAGCAACGCCGCGUGGAGGAUGAAUGCCGUAAGGUUGUAAACUCCUGUUAGAGGGGAAGAAUAAUUCCGAUCGACUCGGAAAUUGACUGUACCCUCAGAGAAAGCCCUGGCUAACUACGUGCCAGCCGCCGCCGUAAAAC